AGAAUCAACGCUGGCGGCGUGCCUAACACAUGCAAGUCGCACGAGAAAGGGUAGCAAUACCUGAGUAUAGUGGCGCACGGGUGAGUAACACGUGAAUAAUCUACCUCCGAGUGGGGAAUAACCAAGAGAAAUCUUGGCUAAUACCGCAUAACACUUACGAGUCAAAGCAGCAAUGCGCUUGGAGAGGAGUUCGCGGCAGAUUAGUUAGUUGGCGGGGUAAUGGCCACCAAGACGAUGAUCUGUA
rnacentral:rRNA from 1 species